GACGAACGCUGGCGGCGUGCUUAACACAUGCAAGUCGAACGGAAAGGCCCUGCUUUUGUGGGGUGCUCGAGUGGCGAACGGGUGAGUAACACGUGAGUAACCUGCCCUUGACUUUGGGAUAACUUCAGGAAACUGGGGCUAAUACCGGAUAGGAGCUCCUGCUGCAUGGUGGGGGUUGGAAAGUUUCGGCGGUUGGGGAUGGACUCGCGGCUUAUCAGCUUGUUGGUGGGGUAGUGGCUUACCAAAGCUUCGACGGGUAGCCGGCCUGAGAGGGUGACCGGCCACAUUGGGACUGAGAUACGGCCCAGACUCCUACGGGAGGCAGCAGUGGGGAAUAUUGCACAAUGGGCGGAAGCCUGAUGCAGCAACGCCGCGUGCGGGAUGACGGCCUUCGGGUUGUAAACCGCUUUCGCCUGUGACGAAGCGUGAGUGACGGUAAUGGGUAAAGAAGCACCGGCUAACUACGUG
rnacentral:rRNA from 1 species